rnacentral:rRNA from 1 species
AAUGAACGCUGGCGGCAUGCCUAACACAUGCAAGUCGAACGAAGGCUUCGGCCUUAGUGGCGCACGGGUGCGUAACGCGUGGGAAUCUGCCCUUGGGUUCGGAAUAACAGUUAGAAAUGACUGCUAAUACCGGAUGAUGUCGUAAGACCAAAGAUUUAUCGCCCAAGGAUGAGCCCGCGUAGGAUUAGCUAGUUGGUGGGGUAAAGGCCUCCCAAGGCGACGAGCCUUAGCUGGUCUGAGAGGAAGAGCAGCCACACUGGGACUGAGACACGGCCCAGACUCCUACGGGAGGCAGCAGUGGGGAAUAUUGGACAACGGGCGAAAGCCUGAUCCAGCAAUGCCGCGUGAGCGAUGAAGGCCUUAGGGUUGUAAAGCUCUUUUACCCGGGAUGAUAAUGACAGUACCGGGAGAAUAAGCUCCGGCUAACUUCGUG